UUAGUAGCGGCGAGUGAAGCGGCAAAAGCUCAAAUUUGAAAUCUGGCACUUUCAGUGUCCGAGUUGUAAUUUGAAGAAGGUAUCUUUGGGUCUGGCUCUUGUCUAUGUUUCUUGGAACAGAACGUCACAGAGGGUGAGAAUCCCGUGCGAUGAGAUGUCCCAGACCUAUGUAAAGUUCCUUCGAAGAGUCGAGUUGUUUGGGAAUGCAGCUCUAAGUGGGUGGUAAAUUCCAUCUAAAGCUAAAUAUUGGCGAGAGACCGAUAGCGAACAAGUACAGUGAUGGAAAGAUGAAAAGAACUUUGAAAAGAGAGUGAAAAAGUACGUGAAAUUGUUGAAAGGGAAGGGCUUGAGAUCAGACUUGGUAUUUUGUAUGUUACUCUCUCGGGGGUGGCCUCUACAGUUUACCGGGCCAGCAUCAGUUUGAGCGGUAGGAUAAGUGCAAAGAAAUGUGGCACUGCUUCGGUAGUGUGUUAUAGUCUUUGUCGAUACUGCCAGCUUAGACUGAGGACUGCGGCUUCGGCCUAGGAUGUUGGCAUAAUGAUCUUAAGUCGCCCGUCUUGAAACACGGACCAAGGAGUCUAACGUCUAUGCGAGUGUUUGGGUGUAAAACCCGUACGCGUAAUGAAAGUGAACGUAGGUAGGACCUCCUUUAGGAGUGCACUAUCGACCGAUCCUGAUGUCUUCGGAUGGAUUUGAGUAAGAGCAUAGCUGUUGGGACCCGAAAGAUGGUGAACUAUGCCUGAAUAGGGUGAAGCCAGAGGAAACUCUGGUGGAGGCUCGUAGCGGUUCUGACGUGCAAAUCGAUCGUCGAAUUUGGGUAUAGGG
rnacentral:rRNA from 1 species